AACGCGAAGAACCUUACCGGGGCUUGACAUCCUGCGCUAUCCUAGGAGACUAGGUUUUCCAGCAAUGGAACGCAGAGACAGGUGCUGCAUGGCUGUCGUCAGCUCGUGCCGUGAGGUGUUGGGUUAAGUCCCGCAACGAGCGCAACCCUUGCCGUGUGUUGGUCCAAAAGAUCUCUCACGCGGGACCGCCGGUGACAAGCCGGAGGAAGGUGGGGAUGACGUCAAGUCAUCAUGGUCCUUACGUCUAGGGCUACACACGUGCUACAAUGGACAGUACAGAGGGUCGCGAGGUAGCAAUGCCAAGCCAAUCCCUAAAGCUGUCCUCAGUGCGGAUUGUCGCCUGCAACCCGGCGGCAUGAAGCUGGAAUCGCUAGUAAUCGUGGAUCAGCAACGCCACGGUGAAUACGUUCCCGGGCCUUGUACACACCGAGUAUA
rnacentral:rRNA from 1 species